GGAUAUUUGGUGUAUUUCACCGAACGUCACUGACGUCCUUCAGAGAAACACUAGAGGGAAUUAGGUGAUUAAUAUUCAGACUACACCUCUAAUAUCCCCAAGAAAUUCAUGAAGAUGUGAAAAGAAGAGUACCGGAGUGGGGGGACCGGUAGCGGAAGUCCUCCUUGGUGAGCAGCAGCAGGGCUUUGCCGUUCAUUUGGAAGGAGCCGCUGGUGAUUGGCCGCAGGGCGAACUCCUUCUCAGCCCAUCGCAGCCACUGGGCCACGUCCU